rnacentral:rRNA from 1 species
GAUGAGCGCUGGCGGCGUGCCUAAUACAUGCAAGUCGAGCGAACGGACGAGAAGCUUGCUUCUCUGAUGUUAGCGGCGGACGGGUGAGUAACACGUGGAUAACCUACCUAUAAGACUGGGAUAACUUCGGGAAACCGGAGCUAAUACCGGAUAAUAUUUUGAACCGCAUGGUUCAAAAGUGAAAGACGGUCUUGCUGUCACUUAUAGAUGGAUCCGCGCUGCAUUAGCUAGUUGGUAAGGUAACGGCUUACCAAGGCAACGAUGCAUAGCCGACCUGAGAGGGUGAUCGGCCACACUGGAACUGAGACACGGUCCAGACUCCUACGGGAGGCAGCAGUAGGGAAUCUUCCGCAAUGGGCGAAAGCCUGACGGAGCAACGCCGCGUGAGUGAUGAAGGUCUUCGGAUCGUAAAACUCUGUUAUUAGGGAAGAACAAAUGUGUAAGUAACUAUGCACGUCUUGACGGUACCUAAUCAGAAAGCCACGGCUAACUACGUGCCAGCAGCCGCGGUAAUACGUAGGUGGCAAGCGUUAUCCGGAAUUAUUGGGCGUAAAGCGCGCGUAGGCGGUUUUUUAAGUCUGAUGUGAAAGCCCACGGCUCAACCGUGGAGGGUCAUUGGAAACUGGAAAACUUGAGUGCAGAAGAGGAAAGUGGAAUUCCAUGUGUAGCGGUGAAAUGCGCAGAGAUAUGGAGGAACACCAGUGGCGAAGGCGACUUUCUGGUCUGUAACUGACGCUGAUGUGCGAAAGCGUGGGGAUCAAACAGGAUUAGAUACCCUGGUAGUCCACGCCGUAAACGAUGAGUGCUAAGUGUUAGGGGGUUUCCGCCCCUUAGUGCUGCAGCUAACGCAUUAAGCACUCCGCCUGGGGAGUACGACCGCAAGGUUGAAACUCAAAGGAAUUGACGGGGACCCGCACAAGCGGUGGAGCAUGUGGUUUAAUUCGAAGCAACGCGAAGAACCUUACCAAAUCUUGACAUCCUCUGACCCCUCUAGAGAUAGAGUUUUCCCCUUCGGGGGACAGAGUGACAGGUGGUGCAUGGUUGUCGUCAGCUCGUGUCGUGAGAUGUUGGGUUAAGUCCCGCAACGAGCGCAACCCUUAAGCUUAGUUGCCAUCAUUAAGUUGGGCACUCUAAGUUGACUGCCGGUGACAAACCGGAGGAAGGUGGGGAUGACGUCAAAUCAUCAUGCCCCUUAUGAUUUGGGCUACACACGUGCUACAAUGGACAAUACAAAGGGUAGCGAAACCGCGAGGUCAAGCAAAUCCCAUAAAGUUGUUCUCAGUUCGGAUUGUAGUCUGCAACUCGACUAUAUGAAGCUGGAAUCGCUAGUAAUCGUAGAUCAGCAUGCUACGGUGAAUACGUUCCCGGGUCU